rnacentral:lncRNA from 1 species
GGUGGUUGGUUGUGUGUUAGUUUAGCUUGGGGUCCUAGGUUCGAGUCAUCAGGAGUGUUUUGAGGGAUUAUUUUUGUUUUGUUUUAAAAUUUUGGUUAAUUAUUUUCUUUAUUUAAUGUUAUUUUAUGAUUUUAUUUUCUAGUUUUUACUACUAUUUUCUUUUUCGCGUUUUCUCUCUUCCUCUCCCUUUCCUUUGUUUGCUUUUAUUUUUAUUUUUAUUUUUUCUUCUUUUGGGAAAUGAUUUUGCUUGCAAAUUUUGGAGGGCUUCGCUCCUUUGUUGUUCAGUUGGUGUUUGGACGUCAUUGAUCGCGAAUCAGGUGUGGGUUCCAAAUCUUUUCUAUUUUGUUUGCGAAUUCUUGAGUCGAUUUUGUGAAAGUCAGCAUUUCAUGUGUGUGUGUUCGUAACCGGUUAUUUGUGAUGAUGCAUUGUUGUUUUAUGCUUAGAACUUGUUCAAUUUGGUAUGAUUUUGGGUUAUCGAGGGAUGAGAAAUGU